rnacentral:tRNA from 1 species
GGAGGGGUGGCAGAGCGGUCAAAUGCAACGGACUGUAAAUCCGUCGGGGCAACCCUACACUGGUUCGAAUCCAGUCCCCUCCACCA